rnacentral:rRNA from 1 species
GGGGGGGGGGGGGGGGGGGGGGGGGGGGGGGGGGGCGGGGGGCGGGGGGGGGGGGGGGGGGGGUGGCGGGGGGCGGGGGGGGGGCGGGUGAGGGAGACAUCGGAAGCUACUUUUUCGUGGGGGAUAACGUAGGGAAACGUACGCUAAUACCGCAUACGACCUACGGGUGAAAGCAGGGGAUCUUCGGACCUUGCGCGAUUGAAUGAGCCGAUGUCGGAUUAGCUAGUUGGCGGGGGAAAGGCCCACCACGGCGACGAUCCGUAGCUGGUCUGAGAGGAUGAUCAGCCACACUGGAACUGAGACACGGUCCAGACUCCUACGGGAGGCAGCAGUGGGGAAUAUUGGACAAUGGGCGCAAGCCUGAUCCAGCCAUACCGCGUGGGUGAAGAAGGCCUUCGGGUUGUAAAGCCCUUUUGUUGGGAAAGAAAAGCAGCAGGUUAAUACCCCGCUGUUCUGACGGUACCCAAAGAAUAAGCACCGGCUAACUUCGUG